UACAGAGGGUGCGAGCGUUAAUCGGAAUUACUGGGCGUAAAGCGUGCGUAGACGGCUAUCUAAGUCGGGUGUGAAAGCCCCGGGCUCAACCUGGGAAUUGCAUUCGAGACUGAAUAGCUAGGGUACGGUAGAGGGAAGCGGAAUUUCCGGUGUAGCGGUGAAAUGCGUAGAUAUCGGAAGGAACAUCAGUGGCGAAAGCGGCUUCCUGGACCAGUACC
rnacentral:rRNA from 1 species